AUUGAACGCUGGCGGCAGGCCUAACACAUGCAAGUCGAACGAGUGGCGGACGGGUGAGUAAUGUCUGGGAAACUGCCUGAUGGAGGGGGAUAACUACUGGAAACGGUAGCUAAUACCGCAUACCAUCAGAUGUGCCCAGAUGGGAUUAGCUAGUUGGUGGGGUAACGGCUCACCAAGGCGACGAUCCCUAGCUGGUCUGAGAGGAUGACCAGCCACACUUGGACUGAGACACCGUCCAGACUCCUUCGGGAGGCAGCAGUGGGGGAUUUUGGCCAAUGGGCGCAAGGCUGAUGCAGCCCAGCCGGGGGUAAUAAGGAGGGCCUCCGGGUGGUAAGUACUUUCAGCGGGGAGGCGUUACCCGCAGAAGAAGCACCGGCUAACUCCGUGCCAGCAGCCGCGGUAAUAC
rnacentral:rRNA from 1 species